rnacentral:tRNA from 1 species
GUUCAAGUNCCUUUAUCCCCAAUAA